AGAGUUUGAUCCUGGCUCAGGAUGAACGCUAGCGACAGGCUUAACACAUGCAAGUCGAGGGGCAGCGUGGUGUAGCAAUACACUGACGGCGACCGGCGCACGGGUGAGUAACGCGUAUGCAACCUACCUUCAACUGUGGGAUAACCCGGCGAAAGUCGGACUAAUACCGCAUAAAACAGGGGUACCGCAUGGUAAUAUUUGUUAAAGAUUUAUCGGUUGUAGAUGGGCAUGCGUAACAUUAGGUAGUUGGUAGGGUAACGGCCUACCAAGCCUGCGAUGUUUCGGGGUUCUGAGAGGAAGGUCCCCCACACUGGAACUGAGACACGGUCCAGACUCCUACGGGAGGCAGCAGUGAGGAAUAUUGGUCAAUGGUCGAGAGACUGAACCAGCCAAGUCGCGUGAAGGAAGACUGCCCUAUGGGUUGUAAACUUCUUUUAUAGGGGAAUAAAAAGGGGAACGUGUUCCCUGUUGCAUGUACCCUAUGAAUAAGCAUCGGCUAACUCCGUGCCAGCAGCCGCGGUAAUACGGAGGAUGCGAGCGUUAUCCGGAUUUAUUGGGUUUAAAGGGUGCGUAGGUGGAUGAUUAAGUCAGUGGUGAAAUUUUGGUCGCUUAACGAUAAAACUGCCAUUGAAGCUGGUUAUCUUGAGUAUAGAUGAAGUAGGCGGAAUGUGUGGUGUAGCGGUGAAAUGCUUAGAGAUCACGCAGAACUCCGAUUGCGAAGGCAGCUUACUAGGUUAUAACUGACACUGAAGCACGAAAGCGUGGGUAUCAAACAGGAUUAGAUACCCUGGUAGUCCACGCAGUAAACGAUGAUUACUAGGAAUUUGCAAUAUACAGUAAGUUCUACAGCGAAAGCGUUAAGUAAUCCACCUGGGGAGUACGCCGGCAACGGUGAAACUCAAAUGAAUUGACGG
rnacentral:rRNA from 1 species